rnacentral:rRNA from 1 species
AUGGAGCGACUGUGGACUGUGGUGGCACCGAAAGAUGUUGCUCGAUUCAAUUCGUUAGAUGGACUGCUCGUCUAUUUCCGCGUGCUAGUUAUGUGCACCCACGCAAAACCCCAAGCAAUGACGGUUCCCGAGUGGCAGGAGGGAACUCUUUCUUUUGUCAUCUGGGUUCAAAACCCAGUAAAUACAAUAAACAAUUGCGGCCUGCCCCCGCUUCCGUUGCCCAAGCUCCAAAGAAGCAUAGACGUGAGGGGGAGUGUUGCAGGGACGCUGGCAAUCCGCGCCAGACGCCGUCGCCGACAAGAGAUGAAGGCCGCGAAGGAGGUGGAGUUGCUCGCCUACAUGGAUGAGGUCGAGCAGGAAGAGGAUGAGGCAGAGCCCUCCCACCCGCCGUCCAACCGGCGCCCGUCAACAUGCUCUAACCUCGGAAAAUAUGUGCUAUUCUCCCCAACUCGCAAGUACGUAUCGUACUGUGCAGUGUGCAUUACAUACCCAUUUCGGUUUGUCGGACGUGGUCGCCGACCGAAGCCGGCAGCAACAAUUAAGCGUAUAGCUAGGCGACAUAUGGUGCGGUGCAUCUUGACAUCUUGCCUCAGAUGCGGCAUUCCAAAUUCGGCACGUAUAGCUUGCGACAUCCUAAAUUGGGGCAUAGACCACAUGCUAGAUGCACCGGCGCGAACAAGCCUAGACAGCUGCUCCUUCGGCGCGUGGCGCACGCGGUACUACUCGCCUGGCGCGAUGGCCACCGUCGAAUUUAUGAUUAUGUGUAAUGGCGACCUCAACAGCCAGAUACCGCUCACGCUCCUCAUCAUCCUCCUUGACCUGCUCCUCCCGCCCGCGCUCCUCUCCAACUUCCUCCGCGUCGGCGUCCACCACGCCUCCGCACAUAGCGUCCUCGCCCAGGCCAGGGGCUUCCACUUCCACUCCUCCCUCGUCGACCUCCCCGCCGUGUCCGCCGCCCGCUCCCUCCUCAUCCUCUGUAAGCACCCCGCCCUGCCCCCUCCGCGCGUACACGGCGUGCGGGGCGGCGCGGCCUACCUGUGGGUGGCGGCGGCCUGCAGCGUCGGCUCCCUCUUCUAUGUCAUCGCCAAGGCCGUCGGCAGAUCGGCCGUGCGUAUAAAUCCGUCAAGGUAUGAAUCCAACCCCUCCCCUCCCCUUCGCCCGCCUCAGCUCCUCCCUCGCGUGCUGCGAAUCUCGACCCGAUCUUGGCUGGCAGCAGAUUGA